rnacentral:rRNA from 1 species
UACGUAGGUCCCGAGCGUUAUCCGGAUUUACUGGGCGUAAAGCGUGUUCAGGCGGUCUAGCAAGUCGGGCAUGAAAUCUCUCGGCUCAACCGGGAGGGGUUGUCCGAUACUGCUGGGCUUGAGGGCAGCAGAGGGUGGUGGAAUUCCGGGUGUAGUGGUGAAAUGCGUAGAUAUCCGGAGGAACACCAGUGGCGAAGGCGGCCACCUGGGCUGUACCUGACGCUCAAACACGAAAGCUAGGGGAGCGAACGGG